GAUGAACGCUGGCGGCGUGCCUAAUACAUGCAAGUCGAGCGAACGGACGAGAAUCUUGCUUUUCUGAUGUUAGCGGCGGACGGGUGAGUAACACGUGGAUAACCUACCUAUAAUACUGGGAUAACUUCGGGAAACCGGAGCUAAUACCGGAUAAUAUUUUGAACCGCAUGGUUCAAAAGUGAAAGACGGUCUUGCUGUCACUUAUAGAUGGAUCCGCGCUGCAUUAGCUAGUUGGUAAGGUAACGGCUUACCAAGGCAACGAUGCAUAGCCGACCUGAGAGGGUGAUCGGCCACACUGGAACUGAAACACGGUCCAGACUACUACGGGAGGGAGCAGUAGGGAAUCUUACGCAAUAGGCGAAAGUCUGACGGAGCAACGCCGCGUGAGUGAUGGAGGUCUUCGGAUCGUAAAACUCUGUUAUUAGGGAAGAACAUAUGUGUAAGUAACUGUGCACAUCUUGACGGUACCUAAUCAGAAAGCCACGGCUAACUACGUG
rnacentral:rRNA from 1 species